UGUGUGCGUCACGUCGUCUGUUCGUUUCGUAUGUUGACAUUGUGUUGGUUAGUUCUUGUGCACCAUCACAAACUUGGUUUUUGUUGAUUCUGCGAUUGUGCUUUAACUGAUACUGUAACCCCUGCGUUGUGGGAAAACUUUUUAACUGUAACCAAACCACCAACUUAUGAGCAUAUGCUCAUUAUUAUAUUUUCAUUAUGAUCAAAGCCAUCCUUGUAUUCAACAACCAUGGAAAACCUCGGUUGUCAAAGUUUUACCAAUAUUUCAAUGAAGAUAUGCAACAGCAAAUUAUCAAGGAAACCUUCCAACUUGUAUCGAAGCGUGAUGAUAAUGUGUGCAAUUUUUUGGAAGGAGGAAGUUUGAUUGGAGGAUCUGACUACAAAUUGAUAUAUAGACAUUAUGCCACAUUAUAUUUUGUUUUUUGUGUUGACUCUUCCGAGUCAGAGUUGGGCAUAUUAGAUCUCAUACAAGUGUUUGUAGAAACACUAGAUAAAUGUUUUGAAAACGUAUGUGAAUUGGACUUAAUCUUUCACGUCGAUAAGGUUCACUACAUUUUAAAUGAGCUUGUGAUGGGUGGAAUGGUUUUGGAAACAAAUAUGACUGAAAUAUUAUCAAGAAUUGAAGAUCAAAACAAACUUGAGAAGCAAGAGACAAGCUUCUUGAACAUUUACGAAUUGGUCUAGAGUUCUUCACCUGGCAUCAUUUUUCUUUCUAUGCAUAGGAUAGAAGUCUAUUUUGAUUCGAGCCCUUGGUCUUCCUCUACCUUCUCUUCUUCUACAAGUGCGGAACAUUCUAGGACUACCAAGCGCUUUCAUCCUAAACGCCUUCGAAGAACUAUAUUUCUUCCUUCACCUUCGUUUUGAUUCAUUGCUGGAAGUAAUACUUCAAUGCAGUUAUGUCUUGACUCAUCAAGAGGCUACUCUAGCACAUACUGCUGUGUGCUUUGCGCAUGGACUGGAUGUAGCCUGUUGUUCUGUAGUCUGAGAAACAGUAAAGUUACCUUUGAGCAACAGAUCCUAUUGAGUGAAAAAUAGAAGAAGAAAUCUUCAAAAAACACAGACAACUUUUUGUAGACUUUUCCAAAAUUUCUAUUUGCUUCUGGUACCUUUAACUGUUUCACCCUUGAUUGUGCCACUGUACCUUUUUGUAAUUCUGUCGGUUCAGGGUGUGUGCUUUGCUUUGUUGAGAGGAGAUUUUUACUCCUAUUUUUUGCAUACUGCUGAAUGCUGUAAUUUGAAGUGCACUGCAUAGGGCACAGAUUGUGAUCCUUGGUCCUUCAUUCAAAAGCACAGCACACAUAUUAUUUGAUCUUAUUUCUUUUGCAUAUCAUACUCCUACAGUUCAUAUUUGGUUUGUGUUGAUAGCUACAGACAUGUGCCAAAGGAAUGGUGAGGGCUGUAUCAUGCUUUUUUUCAGUGAUUUUAAUACCAAUCACUGUUAUACUUGUGCUUCUUAUCCGUUUUAGUAUUUUUUUAGCAGCUUGCAUCAGGACAGUGCAGUACCUUUCAGCCAAGAUGAAGUACUUACUGUUGCAAUGUAUUGAACAUUUCUUGAAUUACCCUUGUUGCAUAAAUAGCUCCUUGUGUCUACAAAGUUACUAUUACGUUUUAAUACACACAGUGUCAUUUGUCUGGGUGUCAUUUAUGACAGCUGCAAUAAUUCCCUACUUGCAGACUUAGACAUGUAACUCAAAAUAAAGCUAGAUACUCAAAUAAAACUAUAAUUGUGCCAAACUCUG